GAGACUCGUUGUUACGAAUAGUAAAUCAAGGGACCAAUUUCAUGGGCAAGACAUAUAGGCAAUUUAACCAUGGGAAACAUCAAGGAAGUCAGGCCACUUAAUUUUCAGUUUCAGUCUAGUGUAGGAAUGAUUUAUUUUUCUGAUAUUAGUUGCUAUUUCAAUUUAGUUUAAUUGUUAUUUCCAGUUCAUUUAUUUGUUAUUAUCCAAGGAAAUAAGGAUAAGGAUAAAGAUACGAAUGACAACUUUAAUCUGGUGUAACAAAAAGAUUAGAAUGAGGAUACACUCAAUCCUCAUUUAUGUAUUUAUAUGCACAUCAGUAAAUGAAAUGGGUACCAUUCCUCGGAAAUUUCA
rnacentral:misc_RNA from 1 species